CACGUAGGCACCAAGCGUUGUCCGGAUUUAUUGGGCGUAAAGAGCUCGUAGGCGGUUCGGUAAGUCGGGUGUGAAAACUCUGGGCUCAACCCAGAGCCGCCACCUGAUACUGCUGUGACUCGAGUGCGGUAGGGGAGCGGGAAUUCCUGGUGUAGGCGGUGAAAUGCGCAGAUAUCAGGAGGAACACCGGUGGCGAAGGCGGGAUCUCCUGGGCCGAUACUGACGCUGAGGAGCGAAAGCGUGGGGAGCGAACAGGAUUAGAAACCCCCUGGUAGU
rnacentral:rRNA from 1 species